UACGUAGGGCGCAAGCGUUGCCCGGAAUUAUUGGGCGUAAAGAGCUCGUAGGCGGCUUGUCACGUCUGCUGUGAAAUCCCGGGGCUCAACCCCGGGCGUGCAGUGGAUACGGGCUGGCUAGAGGCAGGCAGGGGAGAACGGAAUUCCCGGUGUAGCGGUGAAAUGCGCAGAUAUCGGGAGGAACACCGGUGGCGAAGGCGGGUCUCUGGGCAGUAACUGACGCUGAGGAGCGAAAGCGUGGGGAGCGAACAGG
rnacentral:rRNA from 1 species